ACCUGAGACAUUACCUGGUUAUGACCUGUUUAUAACCUGGUUAUAACCUGAGACAUUACCUGGUUAUAACCUGGUUAUAACCCGGUUAUAACCUGAGACAUUAC
rnacentral:miRNA from 1 species